GCGACUUAUAUUCUGUAGCAAGGUUAACCGUAUAGGGGAGCCGGAGGGAAACCGAGUCUUAAUUGGGCGUUAAGUUGCAGGGUAUAGACCCGAAACCCGGUGAUCUAGCCAUGGGCAGGUUGAAGGUUGGGUAACACUAACUGGAGGACCGAACCGACUAAUGUUGAAAAAUUAGCGGAUGACCUGUGGCUGGGGGUGAAAGGCCAAUCAAACCGGGAGAUAGCUGGUUCUCCCCGAAAGCUAUUUAGGUAGCGCCUCGUGAAUUCAUCUCCGGGGGUAGAGCACUGUUUCGGCUAGGGGGCCAUCCCGGCUUACCAACCCGAUGCAAACUGCGAAUACCGGAGAAUGUUAUCACGGGAGACACACGGCGGGUGCUAACGUCCGUCGUGAAGAGGGAAACAACCCAGACCGCCAGCUAAGGUCCCAAAGUCAUGGUUAAGUGGGAAACGAUGUGGGAAGGCCCAGACAGCCAGGAUGUUGGCUUAGAAGCAGCCAUCAUUUAAAGAAAGCGUAAUAGCUCACUGGUCGAGUCGGCCUGCGCGGAAGAUGUAACGGGGCUAAACCAUG
rnacentral:rRNA from 1 species